GCAAGAUACCACGGGCGCACGGCGGAUGCCUUGGCACAGGGAGCCGAUGAAGGACGCGGCAAGCUGCGAUAAUCCCCGGCGAGGAGCACACAUCCUUCGACCCGGGGGUCUCCGAAUGGGCGAACCCAUCCACAGCAGUGUGGAUAUCCCCGGCCCGAACACAUAGGGCCGGGGAGGACAACCCGGGGAACUGAAACAUCUAAGUACCCGGAGGAGAGGAAAUCAAUCUCGAGACUCCCCGAGUAGCGGCGAGCGAAAGGGGACCGAUGGCCAAACCGUCGAGCGGGCAUACCCGGCAGGGGUUCCGCCGACGGGGUUGCAGGGCCGCGCAUCCGGGGGCUGCCGCCCCCGGGCGCAGGUCCGGCUGGGGAGCGGAACGGCAUGGGAGGGCCGGCCGCAGCGGGUGACAGCCCCGUACGCGAACCCAGACCGGACGGCGCGACGCGGUCCCUGAGUAGGGCCGGGCACGUGAAACCCGGUCCGAACCUGGGUGGACCACCAUCCAAGCCUGAGUACUACCCUGUGACCGAUAGCGCACCAGUACCGUGAGGGAAAGGUGAAAAGCACCCCGGGAGGGGAGUGAAACAGUACCUGAAACCGUGCGCCCACGAGCAGUCGGAGCACCUUUAUGGUGUGACGGCGUGCCUUUUGUAGAAUGAGCCAGCGAGUCGCUGGCGCGGGGCGAGGUUAACCGAAAGGGAGCCGGAGCGAAAGCGAGCCUUAACAGGGCGACUUGAGUCCCGCGCCGCGGACGCGAAGCCGGGUGAGCUAUCCGUGGGCAGGCUGAAGCGGGGGUAAGACCCCGUGGAGGGCCGAACGCACGUCGGUUGAAAACGGCGGCGAUGACCUGCGGAUAGGGGUGAAAGGCCAAUCAAACCCGGAGAUAUCUCGUUCUCCCCGAAAUAGCUUUAGGGCUAGCGUCGCGCGUUCACCGCCGGAGGUAGAGCACCGGAUGGACGAGGGGGCUUCGCCGCCUACCGAAUCCAACCGAACUCCGAAUGCCGGCGGCCCAGAGCGCGGCAGUCAGAGCAUGUGGGCUAAGCUGUGUGCUCGAGAGGGAAACAGCCCGGACCGCCCGCUAAGGUCCCCAAGUUCCAGCCGAGUGGCAAAGGAUGUGCGUCCGCCCAGACAACCAGGAUGUUGGCUUAGAAGCAGCCAUCCAUUCAAAGAGUGCGUAACAGCUCACUGGUCGAGUGGACAUGCGCCGACAAUACACGGGGCUAAGCUGGACACCGAAGCGGCGGGAUUUUGAUUUUCAGAAUCGGUAGGGGAGCUUCCCAUGGGCGGAGAAGCCGGAGGGCGACCGACGGUGGAGCGCAUGGGAGUGAGAAUGCUGGCAUGAGUAGCGAGAGACGAGAGAGUAACUCGUCCGCCGUGAACCCGAGGUUUCCUGGGCAAGGCUAAUCCUCCCAGGGUCAGUCGGGGGCUAAGGCGAGGCCGGGAGGCGUAGCCGACGCGCAGCAGGCAGACAUUCCUGCACCGCGCACGCGGCGCUACGACCGACGGGGCGACGGAUGGGGGUGGCUCGGCGGGGUUCUGGACGUCCCCGUGAUGGAGCGCGGCCCGCGGACCAGGGAAAUCCGGUCCGCAUUGAGGGCGAGGCUCCGGACGAAGCACUUAAGCGAAGCGAGUGAGCCCGAGGUCCCUAGAAAAACCCCUAGGCAGGCGCGUGCGCGCCCGUACCGCAAACCGACACAGGUGGGUGGGUAGAACAUACCGAGGCGAUCGGGUCAACCAUGGUCAAGGAACUCGGCACAAUGGCCCCGUAACUUCGGGAGAAGGGGUGCCCGCGCGUACGUGAACGGACUUGCUCCGGGAGCGGAGGCGGGCCGCAGUGGAGAGGCCCAAGCGACUGUUUACCAAAAACACAGGACUCUGCAGAAGCCGCAAGGCGACGUAUAGGGUCUGACGCCUGCCCGGUGCCGGAAGGUCACGCGGAGGAGUUAGCCGUUAAGGCGAAGCCCCGAAGCCAAGCCCCGGUAAACGGCGGCCGUAACUAUAACGGUCCUAAGGUAGCGAAAUUCCUUGUCGGGUAAGUUCCGACCUGCACGAAAGGCGCAACGACUUGGGCGCUGUCUCGACCAUGGACCCGGUGAAAUUGCACUGGUCGUGAAGAUGCGACUUACCCGCGGAAGGACGGAAAGACCCCGUGAACCUUCACUGCAGCUUGGCAUUGGCCGCUGGUCCCGCGUGUAGAGGAUAGGCAGGAGGCACAGAUCCGGAGGCGCCAGCCCCCGGGGAGCCGCCCUUGGAAUACUGCCCUCGCGCGACCGGCGUCCUAACCCGAGGCCGUCAACCGGCUCGGGGACCGUGCCAGGCGGGCAGUUUGACUGGGGCGGUCGCCUCCUAAAGGGUAACGGAGGC
rnacentral:rRNA from 1 species